GGUUAAGCGACUAAGCGUACACGGUGGAUGCCCUGGCAGUCAGAGGCGAUGAAGGACGUGCUAAUCUGCGAUAAGCGUCGGUAAGGUGAUAUGAACCGUUAUAACCGGCGAUUUCCGAAUGGGGAAACCCAGUGUGAUUCGUCACACUAUCAUUAACUGAAUCCAUAGGUUAAUGAGGCGAACCGGGGGAACUGAAACAUCUAAGUACCCCGAGGAAAAGA
rnacentral:rRNA from 1 species